GCGCGGGGAGGCGCCGGGCGUGUGCAGGGCGGCCCGCGCCGAGGACUCCGCGUGUGCGUGCGCGCGUGUGUGUGUGCUUGUGUUUGCGCGUGUUUUUCUUCUCCCCUCGAGGAUGUGAGAAUGGCUUCGCAGCUGGCUACUCCCUGAGGAUUCUUGACUUUGUGGAGCUCUGGGUUGUGAGCAUAAUCCACCCAUAUAAUCCAUUUUGCACGGUCGGUUUGUAUCAGGAGAAAAAAAGAGCAACUGGACGGGGGUGGGGCAGACCAACGCAACCUUCUGGAAAUACACGCGCACACACACGAAAGAGAGGAAGAAUGAAAGACCUGCGAAGAUUUUCAUAACCUUCCUGCUGGCCCUUCCCUUUUCCGGAGAGAUUCUGGAUCUUUUCUACCUUUUGAAGUCAUCUUGGCAUCUAUAUUUGUAAGCUGCUCUUCAGCUAGCUGCGUGUGUGUGCGUGUAUGUGUGCGCGCGCCUAUCUGAUGCAUUUGACUGUCUUUUAUCCAACUGACCAGAAGCAAAUGUGUUAACUCGGCGGUGCCCCUUGGUGCCCGGGUUCUCGCAGAGCGCAGAGGAGCCCGGACCCAUUUUCCCGGCUGGAUUCGGAGCGGCUGCCCGGCUGUGGACCCAAGUGUGUGGAUCGCUUUACGCAGAGGUUUGGAAAGCUCGAGUAUUAACCUGCUUGCCAGGUACAGCACAAGGUCACCAGAGGGUCUUGCAGCUGUCUUGUUUGCGUGCCUCUAGACCUUCCUGUCUUGGCCAGAAGGAUAUUUACGUUUCGGUUCACAUCAUUUGAAGCCAAAAGUUCAGCCCUUCGAACUGUUUCUGUACAAACAAGGUAACAAGGAUUGCUUUUCAAACUGCUUAACAAAAUCUCCGACUCUUCUUCAGCCUUUUCCCAGCUCCCGACCAAAAUGUCAUCAGCUCUUAAAUCACAUGGAUUUGGGUUGGAGGAGAACUUGAAGGAAACGUGAUCAAACGGCUAUGCCAGACCACUCUCUUUGCCACCCGUGGUCCGCUGGGCAUCGAAGCCGCUCUUGAGAAGGACCGGUCCCCUGCUUGCUUCUCCCUCCCUGUGCUGUGCCGGGUGUGCAUGUGCAAGUGUGAAUGCGAGUGCGCGCGCGCCCGGGUGCGAGUGUGUGAGUGUUUGAGUGUGUGUCUGUGUGUGCGUGCGCGGCCGCCCUGCCUCUGCCCGCUCCCCGGGCGCAGAAACGCGGGUUUCAUGGGGCGAUCGCCGCGGAUCCCCCACCCAGCGCAACCUGCGGGCAGCGGCGGCAAUGGCAGGAGCCGCCUCUCGGACUCCCUAGGAUGCGGGUGCUGAGCUAUGGCAAAGGGCAGCGAAGUGACGAGAGAGACCCGCGAACGACUGUGAAAGCCACCUGGAGCCACCUUGCCGGAUUGUACCUGCGGGCAGAAAGUCCUCCUACGACCGUCUUUUCCUCUAGAGGCACCAGAGUCCCUGUCACCCUUCUGCCAGGUGUUGGGAAGAUAUGUAGUGGCCGAGCACCCUUCCUUCCGACGCCAUCCUCAGAAUCAGCUUCGGAGAUGCUCUUACCCCGUUCGUCUUCUGCAGCAGCCAGGCCGAGUGCUGACUCCUUCACAGCCGUGAGGAACUCUUCAGCCUCCAGAAAAACGAAAAUCCCAAGGACAUCGACUGGAACAGAAUUUUUAAGUGUCAACUAUUAGGUCUCUUCGCUUCUCUUUUGCAUUUCCUGUUGUCAAAGUUUGACUUUGUUUUACUGCAGGCUCGCCCUUUGCACAGGGUGUCUAUUUUUCCAGUGACCUGAUUCUGCUCCCCUCUCCCCUCUUAGUCUCAGCAC
ensembl:lncRNA